rnacentral:misc_RNA from 1 species
GGCUGUUGCUCCACUGAUGUCCACCUUCUUGACAGAAAGAGGGUGUUGCCAUGAGACACAAUGGCUAACAGCUGAUUUUUCAGAAUCGGGAGCACAAACGAGGACAUUGAAGAGAUUAGAGGAGACAAGAACACGAACGAGAGAUCUCAAGCCGGGAGCAUCAAUUCCAUCGUCAUUUGUGACCAUCACCGACGGCUUACACUCGCUGCCGUUACUCUCCAUUGAAUUGUUUGGAGUUCAAACUGAAUGCAAACAAAAUUUUUGAAUUGUUUGGGUAAUAACAAGCCACCACUAGGCACUGAUCGAAAAGGUUUACACAGAUUGGUGGAAAUCCUACGUA